AAUUAAUAAGCUUUUAUAGUAUUUGUCUUGAAAACUUAAGAAAGAAGUAAAAUCUUCUAUUAAUUU
rnacentral:tRNA from 2 species